rnacentral:rRNA from 1 species
GAUGAACGCUGGCGGCGUGCCUAAUACAUGCAAGUCGAGCGAACAGACGAGGAGCUUGCUCCUCUGACGUUAGCGGCGGACGGGUGAGUAACACGUGGAUAACCUACCUAUAAGACUUGGAUAACUUCGGGAAACCGGAGCUAAUACCGGAUAAUAUAUUGAACCGCAUGGUUCAAUAGUGAAAGACGGUUUUGCUGUCACUUAUAGAUGGAUCCGCGCCGCAUUAGCUAGUUGGUAAGGUAACGGCUUACCAAGGCAACGAUGCGUAGCCGACCUGAGAGGGUGAUCGGCCACACUGGAACUGGAACACGGUCCAGACUACUACGGGAGGCAGCAGUAGGGAAUCUUCCGCAAUGGGCGAAAGCCUGACGGAGCAACGCCGCGUGAGUGAUGAAGGUCUUCGGAUCGUAAAACUCUGUUAUUAGGGAAGAACAAAUGUGUAAGUAACUAUGCACGUCUUGACGGUACCUAAUCAGAAAGCCACGGCUAACUACGUG